AACGAACGCUGGCGGCAUGCCUAACACAUGCAAGUCGAACGAGACCUUCGGGUCUAGUGGCGCACGGGUGCGUAACGCGUGGGAACCUGCCCUUAGGUUCGGAAUAACUCCCCGAAAGGGGUGCUAAUACCGGAUAAUGUCUUCGGACCAAAGAUUUAUCGCCUUUGGAUGGGCCCGCGUUGGAUUAGCUAGUUGGUAGGGUAAAAGCCUACCAAGGCGACGAUCCAUAGCUGGUCUGAGAGGAUGAUCGGCCACACUGGGACUGAGACACGGCCCAGACUCCUACGGGAGGCAGCAGUGGGGAAUAUUGGACAAUGGGCGAAAGCCUGAUCCAGCAAUGCCGCGUGAGUGAUGAAGGCCUUAGGGUUGUAAAGCUCUUUUACCCGGGAUGAUAAAGACAGUACCGGGAGAAUAAGCUCCGGCUAACUCCGUG
rnacentral:rRNA from 1 species